rnacentral:antisense_RNA from 1 species
CUUGACCGACCCCAGCCAGAGCGGCCGGUCCCCCGGGCGGUCCUGCCCGUAGGUGGCCAGCAGCGCCUGCGCCUC